CGGAGGAAAAGAAACUAACCAGGAUUCCCUCAGUAGCGGCGAGCGAAGCGGGAAGAGCCCAAAAUGAAAAGCCAGCUUGCUGGCGUUGUAUUUGAGCGUCUUUGGGGUGUCAGUUCGGGAAAGUGGCAUGGAAAUGCGCGCCGAGGAGGGUGAUAGCCCCGUCCAUCCCGUUCAGGACACUUCGCACUAAGGCGUUUCAGUCGAGUCGGGUAGCUUGGGAAUGCUGCUCUAAUUGGUGGUAAAUCUCAUCAAAGGCUAAAUAAUGGUAGGAGACCGAUAGCGAAAAAGUACCGUGAGGGAAAGAUGAAAAGCACUUUGAAAAGAGGGUAAAAAGAACCUGAAACCGUUACGGGGGAAGCGGAUUGCGUUAGCCUGGUGGCUACCUGCGUGUUCAGCCUUUAUGGUGCAUUGAUGCAGGUGGUUAUCUGUCGUGGCUUUUUGGUGACUGAUAUUGAGUUGCUGAAGGGUGAGGGCUCCCCUUUUUGGGUGAGGACGACGGAGUGAUGACGCGAUACGACCCGUCUUGAAACACGGACCAAGGAGUCUAGCGCGGGUGCGAGUCAAAGGGUUGUAAACCCGUGGGCGAAGUGAAAGCAAGUUUUUUUACAAAACGAGCAGUUUGGGGCGGCAUAGAAUCGUUGAUUCUAGGUCUGACCUUGAGCAGUUGCGCUGGGACCCGAAAGAUGGUGAACUAUGCCGGAGUAGGGCGAAGCCAGAAGAAAUUCUGGUGGAGGCUCGUAGCGGUGCUGACGUGCAAAUCGCUCGUCGAACUUGGGUAUAGGGGCGAAAGACUAAUCGAACCAUCUAGUAGCUGGUUUCCUCCGAAGUUUCUCUCAGGAUAGCAGGCCGACACGAGUUGUUUUGUGCGGUAAAGCGAAUGAUUAGCGCAUUCGGGGGCGUUUAGCCUUCGGGCGAUUCUCAAACUUUAAAUGCGCAAGGGUACCGGUGCUUUGUUGAGCGGUACCGUUAAAAACGUCGGCCUUGUGGGCCACUUUUGGUAAGCAGAACUGGCGAUACGGGAUGAACCGUAAGCAUGGUUAAGGUGCCAAACUGCCCGCUUAUAGAUCCCACAAAAGGUGUUGAUUCAUCGAGACAGCAGGACGGUGGCCAUGGAAGUCGGAAUCCGCCAAGGAGUGUGUAACAACUCACCUGCCGAAUGAAUUAGCCCUGAAAAUGGAUGGCGCUUAAGCGGGCGACCGACACCAUGCCGUCUGUAAAAGAAAUCAGAUGAGUAGGAGGACGUGGCGGCUGUGUCGAAGCAUGCGUGCAGAUGCGUGUGGAACAGCCGCUAGUGCAGAUCUUGGUGGUAGUAGCAAAUAUUCAAGCGAGAUCCUUGAAGGGCGAAGCGGGGAAGGGUUCCACGCGAACAUUGAUUGGGCGUGGGUGAGUCGUUCCUAAGCCGAGUGGCAAUUGCUAAGUAGCGGCGAAAGGGAAGCAGGUUGACAUUCCUGCACACGGAUGUGGAGGCGGUGACGCUUUAAUGAGGGCGAACACGCUGGCGGUGGCGCUGGGCAGAGUUUUCUUUUCUGUUUGACCGCUGAAGCACACAGUGUGGAAUCCGCUUGUCGGGAGAAACACGCGUGCUCGGGCAGAGCGCCGGGGCUAUUCCGGCGUCCAGCUCGCAACCGACGGCCCUUGAAACUUUGCCUGCUGGUAUUUUUAUUAAGAUCCACGCCGUGGCGUACCGAUCACCGCAUCAGGUCCCCAAGGUGAACAGCCUCUGCUCGAUAUGAAAAAUGCAGGUAAGGGAAGUCGGCAAAUUGGACCCGUAACUUUGGGAAAAGGGUUGGCUCUAGUGCUGCGUGGGAGUGGUUGUCGGGUGUUGGCGUUUUUGGAUUUACUGAGCGAGCGCGAUGAGCUCUUCGGGGUUUGUUUUGUUUAAUUGGCGAGUCUGGAUCCGCCACGCUCGACGACGCCCACAGCAUGCAGCAGACUAGAACUGCAACGGGCAAAGGGAAUCCGACUGUUUAAUUAAAACAAAGCAUUGCGAGGGCCGUGGCCGGUGAUGACGCAAU
rnacentral:rRNA from 1 species